CACAGAUGAGGAAACAUUAAACCAACUCAGAAUCUCAGGUGAUGCAAUGACGUGUGAGAAAGAGGAGCAGAAUUCUCAGCAGGGAAAUGUUGAGCAAGUGGAUAAACACAGAGCAUUAUCGCAAAGAAUGAAAAGGAAUGUGUCCAGCAGUCAUGAGCAGGGAAGAUCCUGUGAGGUUCAGCACAGACCAGAAAAAGAGCAGGGAAACCAGCCAGGGGAGAAAAUGGAUAAAUUUAUUUCCUGUCAGGGAACUCAGAAGGGCCUUAAGGAAACCAGAAUACAGCAGGAAAUCUGCAGGGAAAAGCAAAAAAA